GAAGAAGUCAUUUUCAAGAUGGCGACGGCCUGUAGGACUGCAUUUGCGGGGGAAAAUGUAUUGUCGAAAAUGCGUCUUAUACAGAUGUCAUGCGUAUUUUCCAGAAGUUUAAAUCAGUUUUAUUUUAAUGAACGAAUGUAAGGGGUGCCCAGGAUUUCUAGCCGGGGAUGUGCUGCGAUCCAAAAUCCAGAAACUGGACAUAGCUGGUGUGUUUGGAAUGGCGUGCAGGCACAAGCAUCCGCUGAAAUUCCUGAACCUGAAGACGGGAGAGAAGUUUGUGGAUGGAAUGGAUGCUUCAGAUGUAUAGUUUACGUAUUUUAUUUAUGUAUGACAUUGGCUAUGAUGACUGAUGUUGAACUGUCAUUUCAAGGCUUGCAAAUACUGUGUUCUUACUGGGGACCUGAAAGCAAUGCAGGAACCAAACAUCUCAACGUUUCUUCACUAUGACAUUGCUAUGUCAGAAAAACAGUCCCGAUCUGAUGGUGGACCCCCCAUUUGCAGGCCAGCCUUUCAUGCCUAUGCUCGUAAUGCUGACUGUCAGGUCACUGAUUGUACCAGGUAUGUGACUGGUAGUGGGCUUGCUGACAGAGAACAGAUGGAGAGGUUGUUCUAAUUUGGAAAAUUUGAAAGAUCACAAAAGAGAUGACACCAUAUC